CAGUCGCCGCGGUAAUACGAAGGGUGCAAGCGUUAAUCGGAAUUACUGGGCGUAAAGCGUGCGUAGGCGGUUUGUUAAGUCUGCUGUGAAAUCCCCGGGCUCAACCUGGGAAUGGCAGUGGAUACUGGUAAGCUAGAGUGUGUCAGAGGAUGGUGGAAUUCCCGGUGUAGCGGUGAAAUGCGUAGAGAUCGGGAGGAACAUCAGUGGCGAAGGCGGCCAUCUGGGACAACACUGACGCUGAGGCACGAAAGCGUGGGGAGCAAACAGGAUUAGAUACCCCUGUAGUCCCUGUCUCUUAUAC
rnacentral:rRNA from 1 species